CCGCGGUGAAUACGUUCCCGGGCUUGUACACACCGCCCGUCAAACCACGAAAGUUGGCAGUACCCGAAGUCCCGAGCAAUCGGGCCGAAGGUAAGGUCAGUGAUUGGGGUU
rnacentral:rRNA from 1 species